AAUGCCAAGCCAUCACUUCAUCCACUAUUAGUCAUUUUUAAUUUUGUUACUAACUAUAGUCAGUACACUGUGCGACUAUAAAUAUCCAUAAAUCUUUGUGCAUUUGAUCAUCUCUCCAAUUCUCACACCCAUAGCUCUUUGCAACCACUGUUCCCCUCUCUGUUUCUGUGUGUUCCACUCUUCAUUCAUGUGUGAGUGAGAGCAUCUUCACCUCCUUAUGGAGUCACAAGGGUUAUUUUAUACAGAAGCUUCCACCUGCAGCAGACUGGCUAAAACUGAAGAAGAACCCUAGAAUUUUUAUUUGCUGGGCUGAACAAAGUAGCUGGCAGGGAGCACCUCUGUUCUAGGGAAACCACUACUCACUAUCAUUUCUAUACAGGGUCAUCCUCCAUUAUUCAGACUCUGAGAGCUGUUUGAGCAGUUCCAGGUUGCCCCACUUUGGUCCAAAAUGAUCACCCUGAUAUAUUUAAUCACUGUGAUUCAUCUUCCUUCUAUGGGGCACCUGUUUGGUGACCAGCUCAUCUUUUCUUUGAGCAAGUCAAGACACUAAAGUGUGUUCCAUGCAUUUGAACACACCCAAGGUGCAAAGCAGUUCUGCUGAGUCAUGUUCCAGGGAGUCUAUGCUUUCUUUUAUUACACUAUUCAGAGAAAAGACACUAUUGGUGAACGUAAGUUAAAUAGAUUGAAAAGCAAGAAGGAUAAUACAAACCUAGAUAAGCCAGACAGAUGCUUUCAUAUCUGAAUUUCUGGACACCUAGAUGCCUAGAGGGGUCAUUAUUCUGAGCAAAUCCUUACAUUUUAUUCUCAGCAAUUACAUCCUUGUCCCACGGAUCUGAGUUGUUUCUAGAGACAGCAAGGCUUUUAUUCUCAAUGCCCUCUAGUUAUAGUGAGGAAAGCAAAUCAUAACACAGAACAGCUGAUCUUUUUGCAUGUUUGUGUGUGCUUAGUAGUAGGGAUUAGAUCUUAUGGCUUCUAUAUGCUAUGUGAGCACUCAACUAUCUAGCUAUUUGCUCUGGCCAUUUCCCACUUUGUGUUUUGAGUCAGUCUUUCUAAGUUGCCUAAGCUGUCUUUGAGCUCACGCUUUAGUCCAGGGAACCCUUGACAUUCUGCCUAAUCCUCUAGCAUAGAUGGGCUUUCAAGCUACAUCACCAGGCCUAACUGGAUGACUUAACUUCUGUAACCUAUUUCCUUCCAUUUAUUCCAUGCAGAAACUCAAGGUUCCUGACUUACAAUGGUUAGAUGCAUUUUCAUUAGAACUUCCACCUUGACCCUGAUGUUUUCCUCAGCUGCAGUUCAGACUACAGACUACAGAAGGCUGGAGAUCACAGAUCCAGCUCUCUGAGAUAUGAAAGGCAGUGGUCAGCAAUGUGAAACAUAUGAUGAAUGUAAAAGUUCCAUGUGUGGGUUCUACUGAGUGUAUCCGCCAAGCUGCUGGUUGUGAGGAGGUAGAGAUGGUGACUCAGAAAUGCACCCCUGUGGCUUCCUGUUGUGAAAUGGUUCAUUCUGUUUGCAAAAAAUCACAAACUGGAGAUAAAAAGGAAGAUGUCUUCACUGUGAGGUCACAUUCCAACUAAAUUUUCAUCCAUCGAUUUCUUAUGCAUGGCUUUUGCCAGAAGAAAGACCGGCUUUGUGUGCAUUUGUAUUUUAAGGGCCAUGUGAUGGCAUGGCCAUCCCAAAGUUCUUUCCAAAGAAUUUGCUUCUUGCUCAAAUUCUGUGAAGUCUGAUAAUCAGAGAGUCACGAUGUCUGUAGAAUGCAAGUUACACUUUUUAACGCAUAAUUUUCCCAUGAGUUUUUCUCUCCAGCAUAAAGGGAUUUGCUAAAGGAUCUUUGUUUGACAACAGAGAGGAUUUCUGCAGUUUUGAAGAAAUUGGCAAUAACUGUCUAAACACGGGAAAGUCAUAGAAUAAAAGAACAACAGUGUACCUCCUGUGGGGCCACUGUCUGCUCAGCACAGCAAACAGCAGCUGGCCCUAUGGUAUUUUGCUAUACAUAUCACAAGUGCUUAGGUCAUGGUGGUUUCCUCACUUCUGCCUUUUGAUUCCACUUUUACAAAGAGUUAAUGAAACCACAUUUCCUCCAUGACUCCCACCUGAAGGAUAAAGCCCUGUUCUCCUAUUUUGCCUUUCACUAAAGAACUUACCAGUUAAAGCUUGUUACGGGAUACUUAACAUAGUUUUUGCACACAUAAACUGUCAUUUUAAAAAUUGAGAAAAUACCAUUAAAAAUAAGACAAUGUUGAGAGAUAUUUGCCCAUAAGAAGGCUAUAUAAUAUGCCCAUAAUAAUAUGACCAUAAGUCAAAUAAUGUCUAACUUUUUUGACAGUUUUUUUGGACAGAUUUGGGGUAAUGGUUUGAUUCCUACCCUAGCUCUGUUUCAUUGUAUUCUGUGGAAUGAAUAAAUCAUGACAUUAAUUAAGUUUCCUUUCUAACCUGAAAAGUCAAAUAACACCAAAUAACACCUUGCUCUGAGCCAUGUGCCAGUUUGAAAGUGUGAACACUGAAGAGGAGACAGUAGAUGCUCAAAGGAUCCUAUUGUCCACAUUGCUAUGGAAAUACAUACUCUCACCCACUGUUUGCAGCUGGCUUCUUAUGAAUAUAUGUUUUUCAUCAUCAUCUACAUAUAAUUUGGAAUCUGAAAGAUGUCAGUAUUUCCUAAUAGAUGUUUUUGCUAUAUUUCUAAAAUCUUUAUAACAAUAGA